ACUCCUACGGGAGGCAGCAGUGGGGAAUAUUGCACAAUGGGGAAACCCUGAUGCAGCCAUGCCGCGUGUGUGAAGAAGGCCUUCGGUUGUAAAGCACUUUCAGUAGGGAGGAAGGUAGUGUAGUUAACACCUGCAUUAUUUGACGUUACCUACAGAAGAAGCACCGGCUAACUCCGUGCCAGCAGCCGCGGUAAUACGGAGGGUGCGAGCGUUAAUCGGAAUUACUGGGCGUAAAGCGCAUGCAGGCGGCCUGUUAAGUCAGAUGUGAAAGCCCGGGGGCUUAACCUCGGAAUUGCAUUUGAAACUGGCAGGCUAGAGUCUUGUAGAGGGGGUAGAAUUUCAGGUGUAGCGGUGAAAUGCGUAGAGAUCUGAAGGAAUACCAGUGGCGAAGGCGGCCCCCUGGACAAAGACUGACGCUCAGAUGCGAAAGCGUGGGGAGCAAACAGGAUUAGAUACCCUGGUAGGAUAGCG
rnacentral:rRNA from 1 species